GUGGGGAAUCUUGCGCAAUGGGCGAAAGCCUGACGCAGCGACGCCGCGUGGGGGAUGAAGGCCUUCGGGUUGUAAACCCCUUUCGGCAGGGACGAAGCUAACGUGACGGUACCUGCAGAAGAAGUCCCGGCUAACUACGUGCCAGCAGCCGCGGUAAGACGUAGGGGACGAGCGUUGUCCGGAUUUAUUGGGCGUAAAGCGCGCGUAGGCGGCUCGGACAGUCGGAUGUGAAAAUCCGGGGCUCAACCCCGGACCUGCAUCCGAUACUUCCGGGCUAGAGGUAGGUAGGGGAGAUCGGAAUUCCUGGUGUAGCGGUGAAAUGCGCAGAUAUCAGGAGGAACACCGGUGGCGAAGGCGGAUCUCUGGGCCUUACCUGACGCUGAGGCGCGAAAGCUAGGGGAGCGAACAGGAUUAGAUACCCUGGUAGUCC
rnacentral:rRNA from 1 species